AGCGAACGCUGGCGGCAAGCUUAACACAUGCAAGUCGAGCGCCCCGCACGGGGAGCGGCAGACGGGAGAGUAACACGUGGGAACAUACCUUUUGGUUCGGAACACCUGAGGGAAACUUCAGCUAAUACCGGAUAAGCCCUUACGGGGAAAGAUUUAUCGCCGAACGAUUGGCCCGCGUCUGAUUAGCGAGUUGGUGAGGUAACGGCUCACCAAGGCGACGAUCAGUAGCUGGUCUGAGAGGAUGAUCAGCCUCACUGGGACUGAGACACGGCCCAGACUCCUACGGGAGGCAGCAGUGGGGAAUAUUGGACAAUGGGGGCAACCCUGAUCCAGCCAUGCCGCGUGAGUGAUGAAGGCCUUAGGGUUGUAAAGCUCUUUUGCCCGGGAAGAUAAUGACGGUACCGGGAGAAUAAGCCCCGGCUAACUUCGUG
rnacentral:rRNA from 1 species